GACGAACGCUGGCGGCGUGCUUAACACAUGCAAGUCGAACGGAAAGGCCCUGCUUUUGUGGGGUGCUCGAGUGGCGAACGGGUGAGUAACACGUGAGUAACCUGCCCUUGACUUUGGGAUAACUUCAGGAAACUGGGGCUAAUACCGGAUAGGAGCUCCUGCUGCAUGGUGGGGGUUGGAAAGUUUCGGCGGUUGGGGAUGGACUCGCGGCUUAUCAGCUUGUUGGUGGGGUAGUGGCUUACCAAGGCUUUGACGGGUAGCCGGCCUGAGAGGGUGACCGGCAAGAUUGGGACAGAUAUCGCGCCAGGCCUCCGACGGGGGCCAGCAGGGGGGAAUAUUGCAAAGGGGGCGGAAGCCUGAUGCAGCACCGCCGUGGGGGGGAUGGGGGCCUUCGGUUGGAAACCCCCUUCCGCCGGGGAGGAAGGGUGAGGGAGGUAAGGGGGUAAAGAAGCCCGGCCAAACUACGGC
rnacentral:rRNA from 1 species